rnacentral:rRNA from 1 species
UACGGAGGGUGCAAGCGUUGCUCGGAAUUAUUGGGCGUAAAGGGUAGGUAGGUGGUCUCAUUUGUCUGGGGUGAAAGCCUUGAGCUUAACUCAAGAAGUGCCUCAGAAACGGUGAGACUGGAGUCCUGGAGAGGGUCGUGGAAUUCCCGGUGUAGCGGUGAGAUGCGUAGAGAUCGGGAGGAACACCAGAGGCGAAGGCGGCGACCUGGACAGGUACUGACACUAAACUACGAAAGCGUGGGGAGCAAACAGG